rnacentral:rRNA from 1 species
UACGUAGGUCCCGAGCGUUGUCCGGAUUUAUUGGGCGUAAAGCGAGCGCAGCUGGUUUAUUAAGUCUGGUGUAAAAGGCAGUGGCUCAACCAUUGUAUGCAUUGGAAACUGGUAGACUUGAGUGCAGGAGAGGAGAGUGGAAUUCCAUGUGUAGCGGUGAAAUGCGUAGAUAUAUGGAGGAACACCGGUGGCGAAAGCGGCUCUCUGGCCUGUAACUGACACUGAGGCUCGAAAGCGUGGGGAGUAAACAGG